rnacentral:tRNA from 1 species
GCCUGGGUGGCUCAGUUGGUUAAGCGCCUGACUUCGACUCAGGUCAUGAUCUCACGGUUCAUGGGUUUGAGCCCCACAUUGGGCU